UACUUCGGAAUAUUCAGCAAUGAAUCCGCACAUACACCAGAGAAGCAAACAAGUGUGAGUUAACUGAAGAUGAGCCAACAUAUGUCUUGUUAAGACCUCAAACCACUUCUGGGUGAGCACGGCCUCCAGCACCACUGCCAACAAUGAGGCCUGAAGACGUCACAGCCAACACCGUGAGGUCUGCGGCAGCAGAAUUCCUUCUUCCCUCCAGCCGGCAACUGUGCUGAAGCAGAUCAGUGCCUCGCUCCAUGGUGGGACCGAACAGCCCACAACUUCCACAUCCACUGCACAGCAACCUGCCCUCGGCUUUGGCAGCACCUCCACACUCGGGGGCCCGAAACCAGGUGCUUUAAGGGAUUUAAUUUAGGGAGAACAUGGAUUCAUUGCUUUCCCCCACGCUCCUCAUGAGCCUCGGCCCUGGAAGGCAGGCCCCAUUCCCACAGGCAGCAGUGCUCAGCGCCUUCCCUUCGGGACGGGCCAAGUAAUCACUGUGGAUCUGGGCUCCAGGCUUUGCUUUACCUGCUGAGGGAGUGAAAGACCCCUUGAGACCACACCACAAAGGAACAUGAGAGUAGAGGGAAGAUUUGAACGAGGAGAUCUCUGACAGAUAGCUGACUGAGGUACGGAAAAUGUGAAGAGACAAGAAGAGUAUUUCUCUUGUCACAACAGCCCCAUCUAGACUGGGAACAAACACAGAAAGAAAGGGCGUUCCCUUAAAAACUGUAAUUGAAUGAGACAUAAAUCACAGCUCACCAAAGUGGGUUAGGUUUGGCCGAUGUACAGAGCUGGGAAGUGAAAAUCACUGGCUGGGCGCCCAAGGGAGGGGAGGAGAUCGGGCACGAGAUAGGCAGUGAAGGGGUGCAGACGGAUAGAAUGUGAGCAGGUCAGUGCCAGCACAACACCUCGCUCUGGGCCCUACUUCUGCCAUGGCAGCAGUGUGAGCUGAGUGGCAGAACUGACUACACAGCCUGGAACAAAGAGAAGGAGAGACCAGGACCACCAUUCAGUUAUAAGCUUUUUCUUUUUUAGAAUUCAAGCUUACACAGUUAUCUAUGCCCACUAUAUUCAUAAUUACAUUUUAAUAUCUGCAUACAAAAGCUAUGUAAAAAUUAUUUUCUUCCCCCAAAUAUACAAAUUUUCUCUUUAGAUAGUUUAAAACAUUUGUGAUCACAGAUUUUUAAUAUAUUUUAGGCUGAAAAAAUAUUACCAAUCUAGCAUAACUCUUAACACUGCUUGCAAAAAAAUACAUCAUCCAAGGUAAUUUUUUUUUACUGUACUGCGUAACGUUUGCCUUACCCUCAGGGCACGAAACCGGUAUAAAAAAAUAAACCAAACAAGCAAAACCCACAAGCCUCAUAGACAAAGUAAGGAGUCCUCCCACCUAACUUCAUAAAAACAAACAAACAACCCAAACCACCCUUCUCUUCCAAAAA